rnacentral:rRNA from 1 species
CUGGCUUUCGUGGUGUGACGGGCGGUGUGUACAAGGCCCGGGAACGUAUUCACCGCGUCGUGCUGAUACGCGAUUACUAGCGAUUCCUCCUUCAUGGAGUCGAGUUGCAGACUCCAAUCUGAACUUAGACCGGCUUUUUGGGUUUAGCUCCACCUCGCGGUAUUGCAUCCCUUUGUGCCGGCCAUUGUAGCACGUGUGUAGCCCAGGGCGUAAGGGGCAUGAUGACUUGACGUCAUCCCCGCCUUCCUCCCCGUUGACCGGGGCAGUUCCCCUAGAGUGCCCAGCAUCACCUGGUGGCAACAAGGGGUGAGGGUUGCGCUCGUUGCGGGACUUAACCCAACAUCUCACGACACGAGCUGACGACAGCCAUGCACCACCUGUCUCCGCGCUCCCUUGCGGGCACUCCUGCCUUUCGG